rnacentral:rRNA from 1 species
AUUGAACGCUGGCGGAAUGCUUUACACAUGCAAGUCGAACGGUAGAGGGGGCAACCCCUCGAGAGUGGCGAACGGGUGCGUACUAUAUCGGAGCGUGCCCAGGCGUGGGGGAUAACGUAGCGAAAGUUACGCUAAUACCGCAUACGAUCUACGGAAGAAAGCGGGGGAUAGCAAGACCUCGCGCGAUUGGAGCGGCGGAUAUCAGAUUAGGUAGUUGGUGGGGUAAAGGCUCACCAAGCCAACGAUCUGUAGCUGGUCUGAGAGGACGACCAGCCUCACUGGAACUGAGACACGGUCCAGACUCCUACGGGAGGCAGCAGUGGGGAAUUUUGGACAAUGGACGCAAGUCUGAUCCAGCCAUUCCGCGUGCAGGAUGAAGGCCCUCGGGUUGUAAACUGCUUUUGUACGGAACGAAAAGGUUUCCAUUAAUACUGGGAGCUGAUGACGGUACCGUAAGAAUAAGCACCGGCUAACUACGUGCCAGCCGCCGCGGUAA